CUGAAAAGGUUGCAUGGCGUUCAGCUUACUCAGCUGGUUGUAUGAUGUUAUCCGGAAUUCCUUCAGUUCAUCACAACCUCCUUGAGUAAGCGGACUGCUUUCUUAACCUUUCGUCCCC